rnacentral:rRNA from 1 species
CUACCUAACCUAGCGGCGGACGGGUGAGUAAUGCUUAGGAAUCUGCCUAUUAGUGGGGGACAACAUUUCGAAAGGGAUGCUAAUACCGCAUACGCCCUAAGGGGGAAAGCAGGGGAUCUUCGGACCUUGCGCUAAUAGAUGAGCCUAAGUCGGAUUAGCUAGUUGGUGGGGUAAAGGCCUACCAAGGCGACGAUCUGUAGCGGGUCUGAGAGGAUGAUCCGCCACACUGGGACUGAGACACGGCCCAGACUCCUACGGGAGGCAGCAGUGGGGAAUAUUGGACAAUGGGGGGAACCCUGAUCCAGCCAUGCCGCGUGUGUGAAGAAGGCCUUUUGGUUGUAAAGCACUUUAAGCGAGGAGGAGGCUACCGAGACUAAUACUCUUGGAUAGUGGACGUUACUCGCAGAAUAAGCACCGGCUAACUCUGUGCCAGCAGCCGCGGUAAUACAGAGGGUGCGAGCGUUAAUCGGAUUUACUGGGCGUAAAGCGUGCGUAGGCGGCUUUUUAAGUCGGAUGUGAAAUCCCCGAGCUUAACUUGGGAAUUGCAUUCGAUACUGGGAAGCUAGAGUAUGGGAGAGGAUGGUAGAAUUCCAGGUGUAGCGGUGAAAUGCGUAGAGAUCUGGAGGAAUACCGAUGGCGAAGGCAGCCAUCUGGCCUAAUACUGACGCUGAGGUACGAAAGCAUGGGGAGCAAACAGGAUUAGAUACCCUGGUAGUCCAUGCCGUAAACGAUGUCUACUAGCCGUUGGGGCCUUUGAGGCUUUAGUGGCGCAGCUAACGCGAUAAGUAGACCGCCUGGGGAGUACGGUCGCAAGACUAAAACUCAAAUGAAUUGACGGGGGCCCGCACAAGCGGUGGAGCAUGUGGGUUUAA